rnacentral:lncRNA from 1 species
ACAGCUUGAAAUCAUGUUCAAACAAAGCUAAACAUCAUUAACCUAAAUAUAUAGUAAAACAGAUACAUGUAGAUCGGCAGAGAUGACUAAAUUUAAACUACCUCAUAAAGCUAACAAUAAACUAUUUACAGAUGUAGGACCAUGGUCCAUGAGAAUAGCGUAGUCAAUCUCUUUUCUUUUCCCACUCUACCAUUUUCUGCCACAAACUCAAAACCCCAACAACAUAGUCAAUCUCAUCUUCAAGCCUUCGGCAAGAAUAACACCCAUCUUGCUCUUCUUCAAAACCCCAACAACAUAGUCUGUCUCGUAGUCACCAUUUUCUGCCACAAACUCAAAACCCCAACAACAUAGUCAAUCUCAUCUUCAAGCCUUCGGCAAGAAUAACACCCAUCUUGCUCUUCUUCAAAACCCCAACAACAUAGUCUGUCUCGUAGUCAAUCUCGUCGUUGUAGAAUCAAUUACAUGAUCUCUUCUGAUAGUUGUUUGGACCACCAGUUGCUGCUGUUGUUACUCAUCAUUUACACGUAGAUCUUGGGAUCCAGAUCUGGAUCGGCAUAUAGAGAAAGAGAGAGAGAGAGAGAGAGAGAGAGAGACAAAGAGAUAGAGAGGAAAGGAGGAUUUAUCCGCGGCAAAUAGACAGAAAGACCACUAGUUGCUCUUUAUUUAUAUUGUUAUAACU